UAGUUGUACGAUAUGAUGGCGCU
rnacentral:piRNA from 1 species